GACGAACGCUGGCGGCGUGCUUAACACAUGCAAGUCGAACGGAAAGGCCCUGCUUUUGUGGGGUGCUCGAGUGGCGAACGGGUGAGUAACACGUGAGUAACCUGCCCUUGACUUUGGGAUAACUUCAGGAAACUGGGGCUAAUACCGGAUAGGAGCUCCUGCUGCAUGGUGGGGGUUGGAAAGUUUCGGCGGUUGGGGAUGGACUCGCGGCUUAUCAGAUUGUUGGUGGGGUAGUGGCUUACCAAGGCUUUGACGGGUAGCCGGCCUGAGAGGGUGACCGGCCACGCUGGGACUGAGAUACGACCCAGACUCCUACGGGAGGCAGCAGUGGGGAAUAGUGCACAAUGGGCGGAAGCCGGAUGCAGCAACGCCGCGUGGGGGAUGACGGCCUUCGGGUUGUAAACCGCUUUCGCCUGUGACGAAGCGUGAGUGACGGUAAUGGGUAAAGAAGCACCGGCUAACUACGUG
rnacentral:rRNA from 1 species